GCAAACUUGGUCAUUUAGAGGAAGUAAAAGUCGUAACAAGGUCUCCGUUGGUGAACCAGCGGAGGGAUCAUUACAGAGUUAUCCAACUCACCAAAACCAUGUGAACUUACCUAUGUUGCCUCGGCGGGGAAGCCUACCCGGUACCUACCCGGUAGCUACUCUGUAGUUGUAGACCUACCCGCCGGCGGACCAUUCAAACCCUUGAUUUUAUUUUGGCACUUCUGAAUUAUCAUAAAUUCGUUAAAACUUUCAACAACGGAUCUCUUGGUUCUGGCAUCGAUGAAGAACGCAGC
rnacentral:misc_RNA from 1 species